rnacentral:rRNA from 1 species
GUCUACGGCCAUACCACCCUGAACACUCCUGAUCUAAUCUCAUCUUAGAAGCUAAAUAGGGUCAGGUCUGGUUAGUACUUGGAUGGAAGAAACAGUUUUCU